rnacentral:rRNA from 1 species
ACGAACGCUGGCGGCGUGCUUAACACAUGCCAGUCGAACGGAAAGGCCCUGCUUUUGUGGGGUGCUCGAGUGGCGAACGGGUGAGUAACACGUGAGUAACCUGCCCUUGACUUUGGGAUAACUUCAGGAAACUGGGGCUAAUACCGGAUAGGAGCUCCUGCUGCAUGGUGGGGGUUGGAAAGUUUCGGCGGUUGGGGAUGGACUCGCGGCUUAUCAGCUUGUUGGUGGGGUAGUGGCUUACCAAGGCUUUGACGGGUAGCCGGCCUGAGAGGGUGACCGGCCACAUUGGGACUGAGAUACGGCCCAGACUCCUACGGGAGGCAGCAGUGGGGAAUAUUGCCCAAUGGGAGGAAGCCUGAUGCAGCAACGCCGCGUGCGGGAUGACGGCCUUCGGGUUGUAAACCGCUUUCGCCUGUGACGAAGCGUGAGUGACGGUAAUGGGUAAAGAAGCACCGGCUAACUACGUG